rnacentral:rRNA from 1 species
GACGUAGGGCGCGAGCGUUGUCCGGAUUUAUUGGGCGUAAAGAGCUCGUAGGCGGCUUGUCGCGUCGAAUGUGAAAUCUCAGGGCUCAACUCUGACAUUGCAUUCGAUACGGGCAGGCUAGAGUUCGGUAGGGGAGACUGGAAUUCCUGGUGUAGCGGUGAAAUGCGCAGAUAUCAGGAAGAACACCCGUGGCUAAGGCGGCUCUCUAGUAACGGUACUGACGCUGAGACGCGAAAGCGUGGGGAGCGAACAGG